CCUGGUGGCUCACUGGUAAAGAAUCUGUCUGCCAAGCAGGAGACCAGGGUUCAAUCCCUGGGUCAGGA
rnacentral:tRNA from 1 species